GAUGAACGCUGGCGGCGUGCUUAACACAUGCAAGUCGAACGGAAAGGCUCCUGCUUGCAGGGGUGCUCGAGUGGCGAACGGGUGAGUAACACGUGGGUGAUCUGCCCUGCACUUCGGGAUAAGCCUGGGAAACUGGGUCUAAUACCGGCUAGGACGAUGGUUUGGAUGCCAUUUUUGAAAGUUUUUCGGUGUGGGAUGAGCUCGCGGCCUAUCAGCUUGUUGGUGGGGUAAUGGCCUACCAAGGCGUCGACGGGUAGCCGGCCUGAGAGGGUGUACGGCCACAUUGGGACUGAGCUACGGCCCAGACUCCUACGGGAGGCAGCAGUGGAGAAUAGUGCACAAUGGGCGCAAGCCUGAUGCAGCGACGCCGCGUGGGGGAUGACGGCCUUCGGGUUGUAAACUCCUUUCGCUAGGGACGAAGCGCAAGUGACGGUACCUGGAGAAGAAGCACCGGCUAACUACGUG
rnacentral:rRNA from 1 species